rnacentral:rRNA from 1 species
CUAAGAAUCUUCCACAAUGGGCGCAAGCCUGAUGGAGCGACGCCGCGUGCAUGAUGAAGGUCUUCGGAUUGUAAAGUGCUUUCGGGGAGGAAGAAUAAGCAGAUGUGAACAGCGUCUGUGAUGACGACCCUUCCAGAAGAAGCUCCGGCUAACUACGUGCCAGCAGCCGCGGCAAUACGUAGGGAGUAAGCGUUGUUCGGAAUUACUGGGCGUAAAGGGUGUGUAGGCGGGGUCGCAAGUUGGGGGUGAAAUCUACGGGCUCAACCCGUAAACUGCCCUCAAAACUGUGAUUCUUGAGUAUGGGAGAGGAGAUUGGAAUUCCCAGUGUAGGGGUGAUAUCUGUAGAUAUUGGGAAGAACACCAGUGGCGAAGGCGAAUCUCUGGCCUAAUACUGACGCUGAGACACGAAAGCGUGGGGAGCAAACAGGAUUAGAUACCCUGGUAGUCCACGCCCUAAACGUUGUACACUAGAUGUCGGGGGUAUCGAUUCCCCCGGUGCCGCAGCUAACGCAAUAAGUGUACCGCCU